rnacentral:rRNA from 1 species
AGGGCGUAUGGUGGAUGCCUUGGCAGACAGGACCGAUGAAGGACGUUUGAGGCUGCGAUAUGCCUCGGGGAGCCGCCAACAGGGCUUUGAUCCGAGGAUUUCCGAAUGGGGGAACCCACCGACCGUCAUGGGUCGGUACCGGCUUCGGCCGGGGGGUACGCAGGGAAGUGAAACAUCUCAGUACCUGCAGGAAAGGAUAUUCCGUGAGUAGUGGCGAGCGAAAGCGGAUGAUGGCCAAACCUUGCGCGUGUGAUACCCGUCGGGGGUUGCGCGCGGGGUGUUGCGGGAUCGCGUGCGCCGGCUCCGACGGGCCGGCCGGCAGUUGCAGAAAACCAUGUGUCAGGGGAACCGGGUUGAAUACCGGGCCGCAGAGGGUGAGGGCCCCGUACCUGAACGCGCAUGGUCUGCCGAUCGCGUCUCCCAAGUAGCACGGGUCCCGUGGAACCCCGUGCGAAUCCGCCCAGACCGUUGGGUAAGCCUGAAUAUUCCUGUCUGACCGAUAGCGAACGAGUACCGUGAGGGAAAGGUGAAAAGUACCCCGGGAGGGGAGUGAAACAGUCUCUGAAACCGUGCGCCUACAAUCCGUCGGAGCCCUUUUGUGGGGUGACGGCGUGCCUAUCGAAAAAUGAGUCUGCGAGUCAGUGGCAUGUGGCGAGCAUAACCCGUGUGGGGUAUGCGUAGCGAAGGCGAGUCUUAAAAGGCGUUUGAGUCGCGUGUCCUGGACCCGAAGCGGGAUGAUCUAGCCCUGAGCAGGUUGAAGCGCGGGUAAGACCGCGUGGAGGACCGAACCCACCUGGGUUGAAAACCGGGGGGAUGACUUGGGGCUAGGGGUGAAAGGCCAAUCAAAUUCCGUGAUAGCUGGUUCUCUCCGAAAUGCAUUUGGGUGCAGCGUCGGGUCAUUACGUCCCGGGGGUAGAGCUACUGGAUGCUUGCGGGCCCGUAUCGGGUACCAACAGCAACCAAACUCCGAAUACCGGUGACGCGUAUCCCGGCAGUGAGUCGGCGGGGGAUAAGCUUCGUCGUCGAAAGGGAAACAGCCCAGACCGUCGUCUAAGGUCCCGAAGCGUGUGCUAAGUGGGAAAGGAUGUGGAGUCGCAUAGACAGCCAGGAGGUUGGCUCAGAAGCAGCCACCCUUGAAAGAGUGCGUAACAGCUCACUGGUCUAGUGGUUCCGCGCCGACAAUGUAGCGGGGCUCAAGCACACCACCGAAGACGCGGCAGUAUUUUGUACUGGGUAGGAGAGCGUCCCAUGAGGGGCGAAGCGGCCGUGUGAACGCGCCGUGGACUUCAUGGGAGUGAGAAUGCAGACAUGAGUAGCGAGAGACGGGUGAAGAUCCCGUCCGCUGGAUGACCAAGGGUUCCAGGGCCACGUUCAUCGUCCCUGGGUGAGUCGGGUCCUAAGGCGAGGCCGACAGGCGUAGUCGAAUGGAUGAACGGGUCGAUAUUCCCGUACCGGCUUUCAGCCGCCAAAACCGAGGCUUGGAGUACUAACCUCCGGGUCCGGGCUUACUGCUCCUUCGGGGGCGGGAUGCCCUGGCCUGUUGGGACCGAUCCUUGUAGUAGGUCAGCGCAGGAGUGACGCAGAAGGGUAGCCGGCCGCGGAGGUGGUCUUCCGUGGUCAAGCACGCAGGGCGUGGGACAGGCAAAUCCGUCCCGCAUGGGUCCGAGGUGCGAUGAUGGGGGCCUUAUGGCCCGAUAUCCGGUGAUCCCGGCUGCCGAGAAAAGCUUCGGCGUCAGGCUCAAAGCCGCCCGUACCCCAAACCGACACUGGUGGUCAGGUAGAGAAUACCAAAGCGAUCGAGCGAAUCCUGGUCAAGGAACUCGGCAAAUCACUCCCGUUCCUUCGGUUUAAGGGAGACCCCCGAUGGUGAACACACUUGCUGUGGGAGCUUUUGGGGGUGGCACAGACCAGGGGGUAGCGACUGUUUACCAAAAACACAGGUGCAUGCGAAGGCGCAAGCCGCUGUAUAUGCACUGACGCCUGCCCGGUGCCGGAAGGUUAAGAGGAUCCGUCAGCCUUCGGGUGAAGCGGUGAAUUCAAGCCCCGGUAAACGGCGGUGGUAACUAUAACCAUCCUAAGGUAGCGAAAUUCCUUGUCGGGUAAGUUCCGACCUGCACGAAUGGCGUAAUGAUGGCCAGGCUGUCUCCACCCGAGACUCAGUGAAAUUGAACUCGCUGUGAAGAUGCAGUGUACCCGCGGCAAGACGGAAAGACCCCGUGAACCUUUACUAUAGCUUGACACUGAACAUUGAGCCUUGAUGUGUAGGAUAGGUGGGAGGCUUUGAAGUGUGGACGCCAGUCUGCAUGGAGCCGACCUUGAAAUACCACCCUUUAAUGUUUGAUGUUCUAACGUUGGCCCGUUAUCCGGGUUGCGGACAGUGUCUGGUGGGUAGUUUGACUGGGGCGGUCUCCUCCUAAAGAGUAACGGAGGAGCACGAAGGUUGGCUAAUCCUGGUCGGACAUCAGGAGGUUAGUGCAAUGGCAUAAGCCAGCUUGACUGCGAGCGUGACGGCGCGAGCAGGUGCGAAAGCAGGUCAUAGUGAUCCGGUGGUUCUGAAUGGAAGGGCCAUCGCUCAACGGAUAAAAGGUACUCCGGGGAUAACAGGCUGAUACCGCCCAAGAGUUCAUAUCGACGGCGGUGUUUGGCACCUCGAUGUCGGCUCAUCACAUCCUGGGGCUGAAGUAGGUCCCAAGGGUAUGGCUGUUCGCCAUUUAAAGUGGUACGCGAGCUGGGUUUAGAACGUCGUGAGACAGUUCGGUCCCUAUCUGCCGUGGGCGCUGGAGAACUGAGGGGGGCUGCUCCUAGUACGAGAGGACCGGAGUGGACGCAUCACUGGUGUUCGGGUUGUCAUGCCAAUGGCACUGCCCGGUAGCUAAAUGCGGAAGAGAUAAGUGCUGAAAGCAUCUAAGCACGAAACUUGCCCCGAGAUGAGUUCUCCCUGACUCCUUGA